rnacentral:rRNA from 1 species
UUUUCGCGCCGUGAUCCGGGCGGCAGAUUAGAGACGAUGGCGGCACGUUGUCGGUCGAUAUUUCUGUCGCCGGCACGGACGUCGCGAUCGUUUGGUGUCGGUCUCAGGAGACGCGUUUCACGUUCGUCGACGCGUCGUCUGCCUCGGUAGGCGCGCGUUGCGAGUACGCGUUCGUGUUCCGGCCGACUCGCCAGACGGUAGGUUAAUGGUGGCCGCGGCGGUCGUUCGCUUCGCGGCGAUCAGCGCCGUCCGCGGUGCCGGUUUGCGACGAAUCUUCGGGCCUCUUUCCGACCCGUCUUGACAACGGGACCAA